rnacentral:rRNA from 1 species
UACAGAGGGUGCAAGCGUUGCUCGGAUUUACUGGGCGUAAAGCGUACGCAGACGGCCACGUAGGUCGGGUGUGAAAGCCCCGGGCUCAACCCGGGAAUUGCAUUCGAAACCACGUGGCUCGAGUGUGGGAGAGGGUAGUGGAAUUCCUGGUGUAGAGGUGAAAUUCGUAGAUAUCAGGAGGAACACCGGCGGCGAAGGCGGCUACCUGGUCCACAACUGACGUUCAGGUACGAAAGCGUGGGGAGCAAACAGG